AACCUGUCCAUCGGACAUUUCCAAAUUAAAUCUGUGAAUCAUUCCCAAGCUUCAUAUAACAUUUCAUCCUCUAAUUUCUAAAAAGAUGUAAUGUCCUUUCUAAGAUU
rnacentral:snoRNA from 1 species